CGGGUAACUUACUUAUGUAACACCGAACACUUUCUUUUCGAACUUCUGCACCUACUUCUUUCCUGCCUUUCAUUCUACAAUGGCGCCAUUUUCGAUGCUCCUCCCGGAAGAACAACUCGGAGGAACGACAAGGUCGCCUUGACGCAAUCUUCGCUUAUCCCGAAUCCGCGAAACGCGAUGUUUUGACGCUUUGACACGAGAACUUCACGAGGCAAUUAAUGAUUAUGCCAUUCGACGAAGAGGAAGACGAAAAGGAUGAAAAACAGUUUGGGAAUUUGAUUUGUAGACAGCUUACAUCAAUCUAUACAUAUUUUUUCAUAGAAAUGAAUUAAUUGCGAACUCUUCAUAUUCUCUAAAAGUAUGUACCUUAAACCUCACCAAGAUCUUCUUACAAUGGCCGCAGUAUUUCUU